UACAGAGGGGGCAAGCGUUAUUCGGAGUUACUGGGCGUAAAGGGCGCGUAGGCGGCUUUUUAAGUGAGAUGUGCAAUCCCCGAGCUCAACUUGGGAACUGCAUCUCAGACUGGAAGGCUAGAGUACUGGAGAGGGUGGUAGAAUUCCACGUGUAGCGGUGAAAUGCGUAGAGAUGUGGAGGAAUACCAGUGGCGAAGGCGGCCACCUGGACAGUAACUGACGCUGAGGCGCGAAAGCGUGGGUAG
rnacentral:rRNA from 1 species